rnacentral:misc_RNA from 1 species
AACAAGAGAACCUCUACGUCCGGCUUAGGGCUCCUAACCGGCCGUAGGGCUAUCGCAAACCGUGUCUACCUACCUUUGUUGCUUUGGCGGGUCGUGGUCUCCACUACGGGCCCUGCUCGUACGUGCCCGCCAAAGGCCCAAACUCUGUAUAUCAGUGUUGUCUGAGUACUAUAUAAUAGUUA